rnacentral:rRNA from 1 species
GAUGAACGCUGGCGGCGUGCUUAACACAUGCAAGUCGAGCGAAGCGCUUUGGAAAGAUUCUUCGGAUGAUUUCCUUUGUGACUGAGCGGCGGACGGGUGAGUAACGCGUGGGUAACCUGCCUCAUACAGGGGGAUAACAGUUAGAAAUGACUGCUAAUACCGCAUAAGACCACGGUACCGCAUGGUACAGUGGUAAAAACUCCGGUGGUAUGAGAUGGACCCGCGUCUGAUUAGGUAGUUGGUGGGGUAACGGCCUACCAAGCCGACGAUCAGUAGCCGACCUGAGAGGGUGACCGGCCACAUUGGGACUGAGACACGGCCCAGACUCCUACGGGAGGCAGCAGUGGGGAAUAUUGCACAAUGGAGGAAACUCUGAUGCAGCGACGCCGCGUGAAGGAUGAAGUAUUUCGGUAUGUAAACUUCUAUCAGCAGGGAA